rnacentral:lncRNA from 1 species
CUACGUGAGUGACCUUUCGCACCUAAAUUACUGUCAACAUUGUCUUCAUAUCAAAUUUACCUAUGGACACCACCGUCGCUCCCAUAGUUAAAGCCCUCACGAAAUAACAUAAACCAUAAACAUGAAAAUAAGGCAAAAGGAAGUUGCAGCUGCCAUCCAGGUCGUGUAAACCUCAUGACUUACAGCCACUAUACAUGUGAAAUUUCGAUGAGUCAAAACCACUCCAUCAACUCGACCAGUAGUCCGUGAGGAUAGAGAAUCAUCGCAGGGUCCAAUCGGUAAACCUUCCCUCGAGUACGAUUGUUUUGAGAUUAGGAAUUAUACGAGCAGCAUUCGACGUUACGAACACAAUUACAGGUAUUGACAGCAGAAUUUGGUGGAGAAUCUCAUGUUUAAAGAUAAUUGAUUCUUAAGGAGACCUAACGACACCGAGAGAGAAGAUACAGAAAUAAAGAAUCGAAAGGUGAAUAGAGUUAGGAGAAAGAACAAAGGCAAUAUCUACUUUUCUGAAGCCAAAAUGGUGGUAAAGCGAGAAGUCUAAUUUUUUGUGCGAAGGACGAAGUUGGGAAAUAAAAUUCGACAGAGAGUGACGGCAUCGAAGAGAGCGUUUUAUGUUUUUCUACACCAAUUAAGAAUUUUAACUUAACUAACCAAGGAUUAAUAUCUCACCUUGGUUAUCCAAGGUGUAGCGUAGAGUCCACCUUCAAGUAAUAAAAAAAUACAAUAUCGCCUGCCACCGAUAGAUGCUCCCCAACUUUCAAUUCAAAUUUGGAAAGAAUCGCCAAAUAUUUUUAAAUCUUAAUUCAUUGUGCCAAGAAAUAAAAUUUUGGAUUUUUUAUGCCAUUAUCCUUUUUUCUUCAAGCAACAAUUUAAUUUAGUCGCUAGUGAAUGAGGAUUUGGGGUAGCUGCGACACUUCGUCUAUGCCUUAUAACUUCUAAUGCCAACUUACGUUUUAUAUCUAGACUGUGACACUGCCUUUCAAGUGUUGUUUUAUAUCAUAAAUUACACCUAUUGGCAUGCCAAUUGCCGUUUUUUUUACAAGCUUUCCAAGUUAUUCAUUUUAGGUACUUCAUUAUGCUCCUACUCUAUGCUAUAGUCAAGUUUUGGCAAUAUUAAGGGUCUAAUUCACUCAUGGUCUCUUUAUGAAAAUUGCUCUCCUAUAUCUUAGCUAAUUCAGUGAUUUCUUUUGUGGCUUUACUUUUAUUAAUAAUCUUAUAAAUAUUAUUAUUUGCAUGCUAAUUAUUUUACUCAUACUAAACUUAUUAAAUUUUCAUUAAGUAAUUUUUUCGACGUUAAAGUCUAUUAAUAUGGCUUGAAUAUACAUCGCUGGUAUUUGCUAAUUAAAGUCUGAACAUUUAUUAUCUUUGGACCGCACCCGAAGGCUGCCUACGUACCUCCAAUAUAGGAUCAAGUCUACGUAGCUCUUAACAAUAGAUAAUAACAUAAAGUUUAUACUAACAUAAUUUAUUCUAGCUAAUAAUCAACCACAUUAUCACAUUAUAUCUAGAAUCCAGUAAAUAACUAAGGAAACAUAAAUAAUUAUAUUUUCAUAGCUAUAUUUUGCACAAUAUUAUUAAGAAACUAGAUAUCAAUAUUCAAAACAUGUAUAUAUAUAUAUAUAUAUAUAUACACACAAAUUUAUAUAUAAACAAAUAUCAAUAUAACUCAAUAAUAAUUACUUAUACCGAUUAAAGAGUUUAAAAUCUAAAUAUAUCACCAAUAUAGAUAACAAAUAAACUUUUAAUAAACAAUAACUAUCUAAACUAACCCCUUAAUCAUACCUACCAUCUUAUAACUAUCACUUAUUUUAUGUGUGUAUUCUUGUUGUAUCUUCAAUCCACUUUUACAUAAUGUUUAGCUAAUUAAUCUUUCUUUAAAACCCUUCGAUUUUGUAUUAUGAUAAUUCAAAUUUAUUUCCCUAAAAGGUUAUGACUAUGUUUCGAUAUCAAACAAUCGUUACACUAAAAAGUGAACAAGAAGAUUGGUCAUUGACAUGUUCUAGCCUAUUUCAGCUACUCAUGGCUCUCCUUUUUUUUCAUUUCUCUUGUAUUAUAAUAUAUAUAAAAUGCCUCCUAUUAAUUACAAACAACACAAAAAAUAAAUAUGUUUUUCGAGUAUAUUGUCGCUAUCAUAGAAUUUUUCUAUACCUUACUGCUGAUAUCUCUAGUAUUUUAUUUUAAAAGGAUAUAAACUUUUAUUAGAAGUCACUUCAUAGCAAUUCGAAAUUUGUCAAGAUACAACUGCAUCAAAUAUACGGCAUCUACCAUAUCCUAGCAGAUUCUUAAAAGUGAUGCACAAACUUUCCAAUCAAUGCUCCAAUGUACAUAAUGUAAUCUGCAGCUUACAAUACACACAUUUGCAGCAUUAAAUAGAUUAUUGCGAUCACGACUUUAGACUAUCACCCCAAUCUUCUAAUACAUGUUGAAUGUCAAAUAACAUUCUUAGCCAACUUACAAAAACCUAUAGUAGAGUUAUAUCCUGACCUUUACUUAUAACGUAUAAACAUUUGCUUAUACUUGUUCCUUCUCCUUAAUACCUAGAACGGCCUAAACGUUAGCUCUAAUACCAGUAACUGCAACACCCCUAUAAGGUUAUUUAACUAACCGAAAUGGAGAUGUCAGGUUCGGUGGUGCUUCUCUUAUUUUUUCAAUCAACUAUUAUCAUGUAUUUCAUGACAUUUUCUCCUACUGAAAAUACUCUAGAGUCUCCUUUCUAAACUGGUUCUAAUUCCAUCUAUGAAUAAUAAAAUUUCACUUCCAUGAACUUUCAACCUUUAACCCCCAAACUUCAUUCAAUCACAAACACAAUUUUCAACUCAGCUCAACACUUUUAAUAGUUAUACCAAAAAAAAAUUAUUCUCAUGCAAUAUUAAUUACAACCCACAUAUCUAUUAUGUAUAUGCCAUAUUUGUCCAAUUUUCAUUAUGUCAUGUUUUAAUAGUGAGAAAGGAAUGGCGAAUGAGUGUGUCUUGUUUAGUAAUAUUUUUAAGGGGCAAUGGCAUAAAUAUUCCAAAUCUUUGAGGAUUUUAAAUUUUAAUCCAAAGGUUUUUUCGUAUCGAAAAUUCGGCAGCGUCUCCUCUAUAUAUUGGUCCUAAUUCAAUCUGUGAAUGAUAAAAUUUCAAUUCAGUGAACUCUCAAUCUUAACUUUCCUAAACUUCCUUCAACCACAAACACAAUUUUCAACUCAAAUCAACACUCCAUAGAUACCAAGUGUCAACAAUGAGAAAGGAAUAAUGGAUUGAGUGACCACAUUAUUUAUUAAUAUAUUUUUGGAUAAUGGCAUAAAAAAUUUAAACCUCUAAAGAUUUUUUGCAUUUUAAUUAAAAAGAUUUUACUUGCUACAAUAACUUAGAAUUUAAAAACAUUUAGCGAUUCAAUUCAAAUCUGAAAUGUAAGUGGGAGAGCAUUUGCCGGUGGCUAAAGUAACGUUCCAUCUGUAUUUUUUUAUUACUUAACGGUGGAUCAUACGGUACACAUUGAAUAACCAAUGUGAGAAAUUAACUGCCAGUUAAUGGUAAAAAUCCAAGUUUGGUGUUUAACUAACAUGACUUAAAGUCAAAUUUGAAAAUUGUUGCCGGAACAAUUCAACUAUGCUUUUCCUAAGCGAAGCAACGCUAUAGUCUCCAACAUCUAGAGAGGUCAAAUCAUAGCAGUCUCACAACCUAGGAUCCUUAGUCAUCAGCACCACCGCCGGUGCAGUCUGUGCUAUGUGAGUGACCUUUCGCACCUAAAUUAUUGUCAACAUUGUCUUCAUAUCAAAUUUACCUAUGGACACCACCGUCGCUCCCAUAGUUAAAGCCCUCACGAAAUAACAUAAACCAUAAACAUGAAAAUAAGGCAAAAGGAAGUUGCAGCUGCCAUCCAGGUCGUGUAAACCUCAUGACUUACAGCCAUUAUACAUGUGAAAUUUCGAUGAGUCAAAACCACUCCAUCAACUCGACCAGUAGUCCGUGAGGAUAGAGAAUCAUCGCAGGGUCCAAUCGGUAAACCUUCCCUCGAGUAUGAUUGUUUUGAGAUUAGGAAUUAUACGAGCAGCAUUCGACGUUACGAACACAAUUACAGGUAUUGACAGCAGAAUUUGGUGGAGAAUCUCAUGUUUAAAGAUAAUUGAUUCUUAAGGAGACCUAACGACACCGAGAGAGAAGAUACAGAAAUAAAGAAUCGAAAGGUGAAUAGAGUUAGGAGAAAGAACAAAGGCAAUAUCUACUUUUCUGAAGCCAAAAUGGUGGUAAAGCGAGAAGUCUAAUUUUUUGUGCGAAGGACGAAGUCGGGAAAAUAAAUUCGACAGAGAGUGACGGCAUCGAAGAGAGCGUUUUAUGUUUUUCUACACCAAUUAAGAAUUUUAACUUAACUAACCAAGGAUUAAUAUCUCACCUUGGUUAUCCAAGGUGUAGCGUAGAGUCCACCUUCAAGUAAUAAAAAAAUACAAUAUCGCCUGCCACCGAUAGAUGCUCCCCCACUUUCAAUUCAAAUUUGGAAAGAAUCGCCAAAUAUUUUUAAAUCUUAAUUCAUUGUGCCAAGAAAUAAAAUUUUGGAUUUUUUAUGCCAUUAUGCUUUUUUCUUCAAGCAACAAUUUAAUUUAGUCGCUAGUGAAUGAGGAUUUGGGGUAGCUGCGACACUUCGUCUAUGUAAACCUUUAUUAGAAGUCACUUCAUAGCAAUUAGAAACUUGUCAUGAUACAACUGCAUCAGAUAUAAGGCAUCUACCAUAUCCUAGCAGAUUCUUAAAAGUGAUGCACACAAUUUCCACUCAAUGCUCUAAUGUCCAUAAUGUAAUCUGCAGCUUACAAUACACACAUUUGUAGCAUUGAAUAGAUUAUUGCGAUCACGACUUUAAACUAUCACCUCUAUCUUAUAACACAUGUUGAAUAUCAAAUUUGAAAACAUUUAGCGAUUGAAUUCAAAUUUGAAAUGUAAGUGGGGGAGCAUUUGCCGGUGGCUAACGUGACAUUCCUUCUGUAUUUUUUUAUUACUUAACGGUGGAUCAUACGCAACAUAUUGAAUAACCAAUGUGAGAAAUUAACCACCGGUUAAUGCUAAAAAUCCAGGUCUGGUGUUUAACUAACCUGACUUAAAGUCAAAUUUGGAAAUUGUUGCUGAAAUAGUCUAACUACGCUUUUCCUAAGCGAAGCAACUCUGCAGGCUACAACAUCUAGAGAGUUCAAAUCAUAGUCAUCUAACAACCUAGGAUGCUUAGUCAUCAGCACCACCGCCGGUGUAGUCUGUGCUACGUGAGUGACCUUACUCUCCUGAAUUACUGUCAACAUUGUCUUCAUAUCAAAUUUAACCAUGGACACCACCACCGCUCCUAUAGUUAAAGCUCUCAAGAAAUAACACAAACCAUAAACAUGAAAAUGAGGCAACGGAAAAAAGGAAGUUGCAGCUGCCAUCCGGGUCGUGUAAACCUCAUGACUUACAGCCACCAUGCAUGUGAAAUUUCGAUGAGUCAAAACCACUCCAUUAACUCAAUCAGUAGUCCGUGAGGAUAGAGAAUCAUCGCAGGGUCCAAUUUGUAAACCUUCCCUCCUUCCAUUUCUCCACAGUGAGCUAGACUUAUCAUCAGCGAUUCAAACUCGGGAGAGUCGAGUACGAUUGUUUUGAGAUUAGGAUUUAUAUGAGCAGCAUUCGACAUUACGAACACAAUUACAGGUUUUGACAGCUGAAUUUGGUGGAGAAUCUCAGGUUUAAAGAUAAUUGAUUUUUAAGGAGAGGUAACGACACCGAGAGAGAAGAUACAUAAAUAAAAGAUCGAAAGGUGAAUAAAGUUAGGAGAAAGAACGAAGGCAAUAUCUCCUUCUAUGAGGCCAAAAUGGUGGUGAAGCAAGAAGGCUAAUUUUUUGUGUGAAGGACGAAGUCGGAAAAUUAAAUUCGACAGCGAGUGACGGCGUCGAUGAGAGUGUUUUAGGUUUUUCUACACCAUUUAAGAAUUUUAACUUAACUAACCAAGGAUUAAUAUCUCACCUUGGUUAUCCAAGGUGUAGCAUAGAGUUCACCGUCAAGUAAUAAAAAAAUACAAUAUUACCUGCUACCGACAGAUGCUCCCUCACUUUCAUUUCAAAUUUUAAAAGAAUCGCCAAGUAUUUUUAAAUUCUAAUUUAUUGUGCCAGUAAAUAAAAUUAUGGAUUUUUUAUACCAUUAUCCUUUUUUUUAAGCAACAAUUUCAUUUAGUCUGCUAGUGAAUGACGAUUUGGAUAGCUGCGACACUUCGUCUAUGCCUUAUAACUUUAAAUGCCAACUUACGUUUUAUAUCUAGACUGUGACACUGUCUUUUAAGUGUUGUUUUAUAUAAUAAAUUGCACCUAUUGGCAAGCCAAUUACCGUUUCUUUGACAAGCUUUCCAAGUUAUUUAUUUUAGGUACUUCUGUAUGCUUCUAUCUUAAGUUAUAGUCAAGUUUUGGCAAUAUUAAGGGUCUAAUUCACUCACGGUCUCUUUACGAAAGUUGUUCUCCUAUAUCUUAGCUAAUUUAGUUAUUUCUUUUGUGGCUUUAUUUUUAUCUACAAUCUUAUAAAUAUAAUUAUUUGUAUAUUAAUUAUUUUAGUCAUAUUAAACUUAUUAAAUUUCCAAUAAGUAAUUUAUUCAACGUGAAAAUCUAUUAAUAUGCCUUGAAUUUACAUCACUACUGUUUGCUAAUUAAAGUCUUAACAAUUAUUAUUUUUGGACCGCACCCGAAAGUUGUCUACGUACCUCCAAUAGAGGAUCAGGUCCACGUAGCUCUUAACAAUAGAUAAUAACAUAAAGUUUAUACUAACAUAAUUAAUUCUUGCUAAUAAUCAACCACAUUAUCACAUUAUGCUAUUCAGAAAUAAUUUUAUUCAUUAAUCUAUUGGAGAAUAAGGGUUAUAUCUAGAAUCUAGUAAAUAACUAAGGAAACAUAAAUAAUUAUAUUUUCAUAGCUAUAUUUUGCACAAUAUUAUUAAGAAACUAAAUACCAAUAUUCAAACCAUAUAUAUAUAUAUAUAUAUAUACACACACAAAUUUAUAUAUAAACAUAUAUCAAUAUAACCCAUCAAUAAUAAUUACUUGUACCGAUUAAAGUGUUUAAAUUCUAACUAUAUCACCAAUAUAGAUAACAACUAAACUUUUAAUAAACAAUAAUAUUAUCUGAAAUAAUAUUAAUUCCGCCAAAAUAAUUUAUCUAAUUUAUCAAAGAUAAUAAUGCUUCUAACAUAGACCUUCAAUAUUAAUUCGGUUAUCCAACAUAGACCUUCAAUAUAAUCUUAAAGGCAACUCUAUCCACUUCCAAGUGAUGAAUCGAAAUAUUUAUCAAGAAAUACAUUAGGAAUCCAUACACUCUAUCUAUGUCAUGUUCUUAAAAGUUGGGUAGACUCUACAAUCUUCCUUAUUUUUCUCAUAGCUAGAGUAACUAAUAUCUCAUUAAUAAGAUAAACUAACAUCUUAAUCAUGCCUACCAUCUCAUAACUAUCUAAAGUAACCCCUUAAUCAUACCUACAUAACUAUCACUUAUUUUAUGUGUGUAUUCUUCUUGUAUCUUCAAUCCACUUUUACAUAAUGUUUAGAUAAUUAAUCUUUUUUUAAAACCCUUCAAUCUUGUAUAAUGAUAAUUAAAAUUUAUUUCCUUCGAAGGUUACGACUGUAUUUCGAUAUCAAACAAUCAUUACAGUAAAAAGUGAAAAAGAAGAUUGGUCACUAACAUGUUCUAGCCUAUUUCACCUACUCAUGGCUCUCCUUUUUUUCAUUUAUCUUAUAUCAUAAUAUUUAUAAAAUUUCUCUUUUUAAUUAUAAACAAAACAAAAAACAAUUAUGUUUUUCGAGUACAUUAUCGCUGUCAUAGAAUUUUUCUAUACCUUAUUACUGAUGUCUCUAGUAUUUUAUUUUAAAAGGAUAUAAACUUUUAUUAGAAGUCACUUCAUAGCAAUUCGAAACUUGUCAUGAUACAACUGCAUCAAAUAUACGGCAUCUACCAUAUCCUAGCAGAUUCUUAAAAGUGAUGCACAUAAUUUCCACUCAAUGCUCCAAUGUCCAUAAUGUAAUCUGCAGCUUACAAUACACACAUUUGCAGCAUUGAAUAGAUUAUCGCGAUCACGACUUUUGACUAUCACCUCUAUCUUCUAACACAUGUUGAAUGUCAAAUAACAUUCUUAACCAACUUACAAAAACCUAUAGUAGAGUUAUAUCCUGACCUUAACUUAUAAGGUAUAAACAUUUGCUUAUACUUGUUCCUUCUCCUUAAUACCUAGAACGGCCUAAACGUUAGCUCUAAUACCACUAACUGCAACACUCCUAUAAGGUUAUUUAACUAACCGAAAUGGAGAUAUCACGUUCCGUGGUGCUUCUCUUAUUUUUUCAAUUAACUAUUAUCAUGUAUUAACGACACCGAGAGAGAAGAUACAAAAAUAAAGAAUCAAAAGGUGAAUAGAGUUAGGAGAAAGAACAAAG